rnacentral:rRNA from 1 species
GGGUCAGUAGGCUGGUCGUGCCACCGGUACGUACUGGUCUCACUGAUUCCUCCUUCCUGAAGAACCGUAAUGCCAUUAAUUUGGUGUUGCGGGGAAACAGGACUGUUACUUUGAAAAAAUUGGAGUGUUCAAAGCAAGCUAGCGCUUGAAUACAUUAGCAUGGAAUAAUGAAAUAGGACGAUCGAUCCUAUUUUGUUGGUUUCUAGGAUUGACGUA